CCCCCUCUAAAUACUCAUCGUCUCUUAUCCCAGGAACCCUAGAGACGCCGCCCUUGAAUUCUCCACUCGCCGGCCGGCGCCGCCACCUCUAACCUGCCCCAAAUUAACACCCCAAAACCCUCUCACCCUCCUCAGUCCAAAUCUCAACAUAACUUCUCUCGAAUCCCUCCACAAGUGUUCGAAUUUCAAAUCUGAGUUUGAAGCCCUAAAACCCAAAUCCAACUCCCUUUGAUUCUGUGGCAUGCAUCGACCUAGGCCUUUGGUCUUCUAGUUUUGAUGUUUGAUUCAACGCGAAUUGAUGCUGUUCAUUUGUUCUUGACAAAGAACAAGUGAUUAGCAUCAAUUUCAUUUAAAUCAAGAUGUCCAAUGUUAUUUCGGGUUUACUGGGUAAGUUUUUUUUUCUGUCCGAAUUUGUUUACUUCACCUCUUAUUCCUCUUCUUUUCUUCUCCCUUCUUUAGUUAGUUUUCUUGCUUUGACUGAAAUUCAAGCAAGGUUCUGAACUUAGGUUUUCCCUUUAUAUUAAAUUUUGUGUUCGUAUUAGUGCUAUUUGUUGUUCAGUUUUCUUUUCGAGUUUUAAAAGUCUAUUUUCUGAUUUUGUUGAUGUCAUGCUUGAACCUCUGAGUUUGCCUUUUGUUUUAGUUUCAUAAGUCGUUUCGAUUUAAUAACCUAAUUCAUUCUAUGCUUAUUUAUGUUAUUAAUCAGUCAUGUAGUUAAAUUUUAGUUUUCAAAUCAUAUAAAUGUUUAUUUUCUUCUAAUCUUGGUAAAAUUACAAAAUCUAGUUUGGAUCAGUUGUUGUUUGGGAUUUGGGUCAUUUCUAACCCAUGGGCAAGAGGAGCUCGUUCAUUUGGGUUUAAUUCACUGGGUCAACUUGACCCAUGUGGUAGGUUAGGGUAAAAACAUUGGGUUUACAGAUUAGUUUAGGGGUUUUAGGUUGGAGAAUCUUUGGUAAAUGAUUUAGAAAGUUGCAUAAAAGGUAGGAUUGGGGCUGUGUUGAAAAGCUAAUUUUUAAACUAAGGGUAUAAGAGGAAAAAUGAAAAUUCAAAAAGGACUAAGGGGCAAAGUUUGAAUUAUUUCUGUUGCCCUAAGGCUUGCCUAUAAAGGCAUUGUUUCUUCACUAACAAGGGGAAAUUUUGAGAAACUAAAAAAACACUGAAAAGUUUUCAAACAACUGAGCUAAAAAGAACUCCAAAACUCCCGCAUUUUGGUAGAAAUUUGAUCUAAUUCUGCAAUUAGUCUUUCAAUUCUGAAACAUUCAAAGGAUUUCUAACUUAUUUUGGAUUCAAAGAUGGUCUAAAGGCUGUUGAUCAUUGCUCCAUUGCUGGUUUUGAGCUGAUUCUGCCGUUGCUUCCCCUUUGUUGAGUUACUACUGUUGCUGCUUCAUAACUUCAGGCUUUUGUGUUGUUUACUUGCUGUACUCAGGUACACAUCUCUGAUUCUGAAUAUAUAAAAUUGGAUCAUUUGGCUUGAAGAAAUGAAGAUCUUCGCAUUUACUCGAUGUUUUUUUCCUUGUCUUUUCCCCAACUUGUUAAUUCAUUUCUUCUAUUUUAGUAUACUUAAAAGUGACGUUAUUCCAUGAACAUUUGGGACUUAUGCUGAGAGUUGUACUUGGACUUUUAU
rnacentral:lncRNA from 1 species